rnacentral:tRNA from 1 species
GGUGAGGUGGCUGAGUGGUCGAAAGCUCCGGUCUUGAAAACCGGCGAACGUGCAAGNGUUCCGNGGGUUCGAAUCCNNCCCUCACCGCCA